GACGAACGCUGGCGGCGUGCCUAAUACAUGCAAGUAGAACGCUGAAGGAGGAGCUUGCUCUUCUGGAUGAGUUGCGAACGGGUGAGUAGCGCGUAGGUAACCUGCCUGGUAGCGGGGGAUAACUAUUGGAAACGAUAGCUAAUACCGCAUAACAGUAGAUGUUGCAUGACAUUUGCUUAAAAGGUGCAAUUGCACCACUACCAGAUGGACCUGCGUUGUAUUAGCUAGUUGGUGGGGUAACGGCUCACCAAGGCGACGAUACAUAGCCGACCUGAGAGGGUGAUCGGCCACACUGGGACUGAGACACGGCCCAGACUCCUACGGGAGGCAGCAGUAGGGAAUCUUCGGCAAUGGACGGAAGUCUGACCGAGCAACGCCGCGUGAGUGAAGAAGGUUUUCGGAUCGUAAAGCUCUGUUGUAAGAGAAGAACGAGUGUGAGAGUGGAAAGUUCACACUGUGACGGUAUCUGACCAGAAAGGGACGGCUAGCUACGUG
rnacentral:rRNA from 1 species